UACGUAGGGUGCGAGCGUUAAUCGGAAUUACUGGGCGUAAAGCGUGCGCAGGCGGUUCGUUGUGUCGGCGGUGAAAGCCCCGGGCUCAACCUGGGAAUGGCAAUGGAUACUGGACAGCUAGAGUGCGGUAGAGGGUAGUGGAAUUCCCGGUGUAGCAGUGAAAUGCGUAGAGAUCGGGAGGAACACCAGUGGCGAAGGCGGCUACCUGGACCAGCACUGACACUGAAGCACGAAAGCGUGGGGAGCAAACAGG
rnacentral:rRNA from 1 species